UCCAUCUGUGCUAACUUUUGCUCGAGAGUUUGGCUGCUCUUACUAGAGGGUUGUGCCUUUUCCUGGGACACACAGAGGGGAUAGAUGGAGCCUAGUAUAAAAAGGCUAGUUCCCAUGGCGUGAUCCAGAGUGCCACCAAAAGAGGGAACACAGGAGACGUGUUGUACCUCAGUCCUUAAUCUCAUGCUCAGACAGAACAGUUCCGGGGAAGAACUACUUGUUGCCAUAUGUGAAGCAUGACAGCCCCACGCUUGUGAAAGCUGUGCACACACACUGUGGCUUUGGUGGGUUUCCUUUCAGAAAUGACCUGGCACUCCUGGAGCUGCAGAUUCCCAUUGACCCAGAGGAAGAACUGGCUGGCAGGCUCUAACAAGCAUCUCUCCUCCUCUCCCACAAGGACUGUGCGAACUACUGGGGACAAAAUUGAAGAGACCAACAUCUGUGGGAGAGCCGCAGGGGCAGCUUUUUGCAUGAGACUCUAGGUGGCCGUUGAUCUGUGUGAUUGACAGGCAUUAAAAGCUGGUUGGUAUUGCAAGCUGGGGAAGUGACAAGUGCCAUCCAGAGUCACCAAGAUUCUACACCAGGGUUCUGCCUACAGAUGCUGGAUUUCAUCAGUCACAAACCAAAAGUUAGAUUAACAUGAAUGGGAGCUUUUUCAGGUUUUUGUGUAUUUUUCCUCAACAAAGAGCUUGUGCUGUGUACUGGGUAAGUGUUCGUCAUUCAGGUCACCUUCUUGCAAACCUAUCCUCUUUGGAAGCUCAAACUUGAGCACUUAGUUUCAGAAAUCCCCUUCCUACUGCAGCAAAGCUUGUGGUGCUAGAGUGCCGAUAUAAAUUCAGUUCCUGAAAGGUGCCUAGAAAACACUAUCCUUCCGUGUUUAGGUGCAUGUUGAGUGUCAAGUCCUUUACACAGCUGGUACUCAUCUGUCAAAAUAAAAUCAGUACACCCUGUUCAUCUUAGAUAACCUGAUUUACCAGAGGGAAGUAGCUGCUGCAGCAGCAUGGAUAGCUAAGAUGGACUGCUCUAGCUGCAGUGUUACUUUGCUGAAAAGGAAGUGAUCUGGAAUUUGGUGUGAUGGCUCAUCCAUUGUAACUAUCAUUCAGGUUUCACAGAGGUUUAUCUAUGCCAAGCUCUUACCUUUGUCUCUCAUAUUAGGCCAUACUGACAUGAUUUCAGUUGCCAGAAGUUUGGGGUUUGGUUUUUUUGAUUGUUUGUUUGUUUGAAAGGGAAGGGUUUAAAUAUAAUUUCUUGGGGGAGGGAAAAGUGGUGUCUGACUUAUCUAAAGCUUCUUAUGAGCCAGUAGUUAAAAACUAGACUUGGAAGUGAAGUGUAUUUGUGAAGAAGGAAUCAUAGAACACCAGGUUGGAAAGGACCUCAAGGAUCAUCUGGUCCAACUUUUCUUGGCAAAAGUACACUCCAGACAAGAUGGUCCAGCACCUUGUCCAGCCGAAUCUUAAAAAUGUCCAGUGUUGGGGAAUCCAUUGUUUCUCUGGGGAGAUUAUUCCAAUGGCUGAUUGUUCUCAUUGUGAAAAAUUUUCCUCUUGUGUGCAAUCAGAAUCUCCCCAGGAGUAACUUGUACCUGUUGCCCCUUGUCUUCUCCAUGUGACUCCUUGUAAAAAGGGACCCUACAUCUUCUUUGUAGCCACCCUUUAAAUAGUGGAACGUGGUGAUAAGGUGUCACCUAAGCCUUCUUUUCUCAAGGCUGAACAAACCCAGUUCUUUUAGCCUUUCCUCAUAUGGCAGGCUUCCCAGUCCUUUGAUCAUCUUUGUUGCCCUUCUGUGGGCCCUCUCCAGCCUGUCCACGUCUUUUUUUGUAUAGCAGGGACCAAAACUGAACACAGUAUUCCAGGUGUGGCCUGGAAGGAUUUUAAUGCCCCAGCCCUAUCAGCAUGUAUCAGUGAAUUACAAGCCAGGAAACCUCUGCCUCCAUCCAUCUUCUCUGGUUUUAGCACUAUUGUGCACGACAUAUGGAUCUCUUCUUUAAACAGAGGAUAGCAGGCUGUUUUCCGCCUCUGUGCUGUAUAUAGCAGUCCACUUAAACACGGAAAUAAACACAGGAAUGUUUGUGUGAUGAGACACCUUCAUGGCUGUUGUCUAGCUAAGUGAACCUGGCAACCAAAAUGGCUGAAGAACUACAGCCUACCCUUACACCAGGUCAUUCAGGUACAAUAGUUUAAUAAAUGAAAGGUUACACACAUGAUCUUUCGACUUACCAAAUACUAGUCUCUCUGUUUCUUAAAAGAAACCUUUCUUUCUCCUAUGCCCGUCCCAUGCUGCUUUUGGAAAGUAAUCCUCAUAUUCUAGCACAAUUCAGAAAACAUCAGUCAAUCUUUACAAAAAUAAUAGUUCCCCUGAACUAGUGGAGCUGUAAAUUGCAGUAUUUUGUCAGGCUGCUGUUGCUGAUGAUUGACUUGUGUUAUAACUAACUUUAAAAAACUGCUCUGCCAUCGUGACAGCAAAUGUGUUGUGAGUUUUGGCUCAGAGAUGUGAUUUCCCCAGUGUGUCUUCAGCUGUGCAAAUAAAGCAGCUUAGGGUUUGUAAUUCAGUGCUAUAUCACAGACCAGGGCAGCUUCCUAUCAUGAAAAUGUGCGUGGCGUUAGGUGAGUAACUCACUGAAACCUGCAAAGACAUGGGGGUAGGACAGGUCACCAUGCUUGCUCUUGGUGGCAGGGAGUCAGGGAGAAGGAAACCUGUUCCCAGGACUCCUGACAUGCCAGUAACCACUUCUUAUGUCUGGAAAGAGGACCUGCUGCCCAAUGAAGUGACAGUCUCAUCCCAAGCAUGGUUCCUGCUCAUGCCUCAGGAGAUUGGCAGAGCUGCAGGAUGAAACCAGCUCUGGGGUGUGCUUAUGGUGACAACAGAAACCCCUGGCCUGCCACAGGGAAUUUUAUACCUUAAAUUCCACGGGGAGAAGAGUGUUGGAGAGUUUCUGGUAAAGCUGAAGAGAAGCAAUUAAUAUUCAUCUGAAUGUUUUUUAAUUUAUUGACCUAGAAACAGGCAGUCAGGUCCCAAGAGGCAUAACUACUGACCUGGUAAGGAAAGAGUCACCACAUAAAAUAAUUUGGGCUUCAAGUGCAGAGCUAGAAUUUAAAUGAAUAUGUAGGGUGUAUGCUGUUUAUUUCAUCCCUCAAGAUCUGCUGCGCUGCACAGUCUCCUUUGGACCAUUUGUUUGGUGCAGAGACAUUUGGUAAGAGAAGAGAGAGCCCCAGUCCAGGGUGAGGUGCAGCACUUUGUACAGAGAAGUUUUCCCUCUGUACCUUUUUACGAGCAAGUCUGGCUCUUAUAUUAUAAAUGUACUCACUGGGGGAAAGGGAACAGCAGAACCAAGAAUUACUUGCACCUUUUGGAGGAAGAGGCACUGAGGUACUGAAGGAGGCAUAGAUGGUGGGGGAAAGUAGAGUUGCAUAAUUAGAGCAUGACAAGUUAUUCCCAAAAGCGUGAACCCUAAUGAGCUCUUGCCUCUAGUUCCAGACUUGCUUGAAAGAAAAGCAGAUCAUAGAUUAAUCUACAUAGCAUUGCUUUUUGGGGGAAUAGCUCUGCUCUCCAGGACAGCAGCUUUACCCCACUGCAAAGCUCAUUGCUGAUUCCACCCUUCAGUAAUACCUCAUGUAUAAAUCCCACAGCACUGAUGUUUUUCUGCUUAAAGAGGACAAGUGUAUACCACACCAGUUAUAAAUCUUCUAUACAAUUUGACUAUAUUGUCAACAUAGGAAUUCAAAAUCAGUAGGAAGUUCUCCUGACCACCAACUCCCCCAUCAGCCCAAGCUGCGGUUCAAGCUAACCUGGCUUUCUUGUUUCAUGGGCUCUGGGAUUUGUGUACUAAGGUCUGGAGGGAGAAGGAGGACUCCUGCCUGGCACUAGCCAGAUGUGCUUGAAUGCUGUGUGUGAGUUUUUUAUGGCACAGGAAAUGGGACUAUGAAAACCCAAAUAGGCUUCUCAUUAAAAUUUCUCAAGUAGCCGGGAACACAGCACAUCCUGAUGCUUCUAGAAAUGUCCUUCCAUUAGCAGUUACUGCAUGAAGCUGAUUGUCCCAUCAAAGAGGCAUGUUCUGCUUAAUUGCAAUGGAGAUGUGAUCCUGGUUCACUGUUGUCACUUCAUGGCUUUUUUUUUUCUCUUUGCUUGAAAGUAGUUUAGGAAGAAACCACAAGCUGCUGAUUGUACAAGAAAUUUUUUCUUUUUUUAAAUUUAGCAAGUGCUGGUUUAAGAUGAGUGGUGAGAUGUUUUGUUUGCUUUUUUAAGAAAAAAAAUACAAACAAAAAAAUUUUGAUUACUCUUUUCCCAGAAAAGCUCAUGCUUAAUGUUGGGGCUCAGAUUUCUUCCUUUCAGUGUUCUAAGUAGCCUGUCAUAUUUGUUUAUGGGCUGAAAGGCCUCCAAGAAGAAUCUGUAACAUUUGACAUAACUAAAACUUAUAAACUAAAGAGCAGAUCAGUAUAUCCUCGAAGCAAAAUAGCCUGAACUGGCUGGAAGCUGUGUUUUAGCAUCUCUUUCCUUGCAAUAGUGAGUUCUUUGUGUGUGUGUUUUCUUUCAAUACAGAAUGAAUGCACCCACACACAAAUAAGGAUCAGUUGCUAUUUUUCUUCUCAAGAUACAUACAGGAUAUUUUUCUGCUUGCUGUAUGCUCUGCUCUCCCUUUGUUCCGUGGCACCUUUUAAGUAAUUGCUGCUUUUCUGAUUAAAGUACAUGAGUACAAGCUGAAAGUUUGGCACAAGACAGCCAAUGCUUUUUAAUUGCCUUUAGCUCAACUCUAGCGGUGGCACUUCUCUUUGAAUGCAACUGACUUGCAAGAAAGGCUGGGAGAGAAAUGAAGCACUUUUUAUUUAUGCUUUUUCUCUGGCAAAAUUGCUCUGUGAAUUUUUAUCACCUAAUGGUUUCUCUGACACCUUUUAAAACUGUUUAGCUCUUCACCAGGAGACUAUUUUAUGUGAGACUUGAGCCAGUAAACCAUAUCUGUGAUCUGGGAAGUGCUAUCCUUCCUUUGCAGAGCAAUUCAUUUUGAAAUUAGCUGGGCAUGCCUUCUCAAGAAGAACUCACAGUUGCUUGGCUGCUAGUUCUGAAUGGAUCUAUUAAAUGUGUUAUUUCUGUAAAAAAAAAAAAAAGCAAAGAUCUAUUGCUGGCUAACAGGUCCUGAAAUUCAUGCAUAUCAAGGGUAGCAUAAAUAGCUUCAGUGUGUGAUUUUUGAGAGACUAGUGGUCUCUGCCUUAGUAAAUACGAACUUCUAUCCAGUCUAUUGAAAAAGGUGGUUAUAUAAGGUGGAAAUCCGCUGGGGCUUCAGCAGAGCUGGGAGGAACUGGUGUCUCUUCUGUUCAACUGGCAGCACUUAGUGAUAUGGUGGUUAACUGGCUUCUCCUGUACUAAGCUCUGUCCAGCCUUGUCCUUCUCCCAUGUGGUUCCAAAGCAUGGUCUGAAGCCCCAGGUCCUUUCUCUCCCUUGUCUGAGACACCUCAUAGAAAUGCUAUUACCCUAUAUCACCCCCACUGAUGUACCAGGGAGGCGUGGUCUAUGGCAGUUUAGAUGGGACAUUGCUGCUGCCUCUGACCAGCAAGGCGCAGCUGUGCUAGAUUUAAGCACUUUCAAUUUCCUUCUGGAAAUUAGCGUGUUGUGGGUAGGUGUCUGCUCGCUAUGGCAAAUAGUAAUGGCAGGCUCCUAGCAAGU